CAAGGUGAUGAUGCACUCAACAAGUGGGACAAUCGAGCAACAAUUACACAAUAGUAUCCUCUCAUGAGCAAUAAGCCUAGUAUGAGACUGAAGUCAUGCCACGAACACAGUGUGCAGAUGAAGCUGACAGGAAGCUGGCAAGGGCCACAGGAUAAAAUAACAGAAUGUGAAAGCUUACCUUUCUCCAGACUAAGACUCCUAAUAUUGCUAAUAUCCUCCAUACUGUACUUCAAACUGAGAAACCUCCAUGUGCUAACAAUAGAUGGUGAGAUGUGUACCGCUCUUCAGG